UGGGAUCCGAAUUGGAGGGCAGCUCAUCUGAACAUGGGGACCAAACUUGUUUCAGAAGUGGCUCACCCUGCUCUCCAGUGUCCAUCCAGGCCAUUCCACCGGGGGAGCACUGGGAUCCGAAUUGGAGGGCAGCUCAUCUGAACAUGGGGACCAAACUUGUUUCAGAAGUGGCUCACCCUGCUCUCCAGUGUCCAUCCAGGCCAUUCCACCGGGGGAGCACUGGGAGCCGAAUUGGAGGGCAGUUCAUCUGAACAUGGGGACCAAACUUGUUUCAGAAGUGGCUCACCCUGCUGUAAGUGGCUACAAAAUGGUUUUUGCUUUAACUCUUUCUUGCCUGAAAUGUUGCCGGC